GAUGAAGAACGCAGCGAAAUGCGAUACGUAAUGUGAAUUGCAGAAUUCAGUGAAUCAUCGAGUCUUUGAACGCACAUUGCGCCCCCUGGUAUUCCGGGGGGCAUGCCUGUCCGAGCGUCAUUGCUGCCCUCAAGCACGGCUUGUGUGUUGGGCCUCCGUCCUCCUCCCGGGGGCCGGGCCCGAAAGGCAGCGGCGGCACCGCGUCCGGUCCUCGAGCGUAUGGGGCUUCGUCACCCGCUCUUGUAGGCCCGGCCGGCGCUUGCCGACACAUCAAUCUUUUUUCCAGGUUGACCUCGGAUCAGGUAGGGAUACCCGCUGAACUUAAGCAUAUCAAUAGCGGAGGA
rnacentral:misc_RNA from 1 species